GACGAACGCUGGCGGCGUGCUUAACACAUGCAAGUCGAACGGAAAGGCCCUGCUUUUGUGGGUUGCUCGAGUGGCGAACGGGUGAGUAACACGUGAGUAACCUGCCCUUGACUUUGGGAUAACUUCAGGAAACUGGGGCUAAUACCGGAUAGGAGCUCCUGCUGCAUGGUGGGGGUUGGAAAGUUUCGGCGGUUGGGGAUUGACUCGCGGCUUAUCAGCUUUUUGGUGGGGUAGUGGCUUACCAAGGCUUUGACGGGUAGCCGGCCUGAGAGGGUGACCGGCAACAUUGGGACUGAGAUACGGCCCAGACUCCUACGGGAGGAAGCAGUGGGGAAUAUUGCACAAUGGGCGGAAGCCUGAUGCAGCAACGCCGCGUGCGGGAUGACGGCCUUCGGGUUGUAAACCGCUUUCGCCUGUGACGAAGCGUGAGUGACGGUAAUGGGUAAAGAAGCACCGGCUAACUACGUG
rnacentral:rRNA from 1 species